GUCAUCGGUGGUUUAGUUGGGAGAACACCCGCUUAUGGUGCUGUAGGAUUUGGGUUCGAGUUCCGGUGAAGGCA